CUGGGAGCAAGACCUUUACCCUCUGACCCCCACCGUGACCCCCGUCGUUCCGGCUUCCCUUAGGCGGUGGCGGAAGCUCUUGGACCAGUCUUCUUUCCAAGCUUCAGGUCAUCAGGCGUCAUAGUCACAGGGGACUCUGGAGGAAUGAAUGCUUCUAUCUCAAUGGACUCAUUAGAGGAGUUGCUGAACUCCAAGCUGAGGACAGGAAGGAGAUUGUUUGCAACCUUUGGUGAGGAGGAGUCUUCCUGAACCACUGUAAUGCGCACAGACUUGACAAGGGGCAGAGCUGGAGGCAAGACUACAGAAGAUAGCAUCCUGCCAGGUGGAGAGAAACGGGGUUGUCAUUCAUUUCCUCUGGAGAAAUGGUUGGGUCUAAAGGAGAGAACCUGCUGGCUUGAUCCUUUCCGCACAAGGCAUCUUCAAUGCUGAUAGAACAAAGUUCCAGGCACCUACGUGCAGAUCAAAUUGGGUUGUGAUCUCUUUGCUGUGGCAGUACUUAUAUUCUAAGGGUCCUAUUUCUGUUCCUUAAUGAGGCUCUUGACCUCUGUUGUUUGUGGCCCCAUGUCACACAAUCAAAUGUUCUCAUCCUGUUCAACAUUAAAUAAAGAUGGAAGAUGAACAGGCACUCAAUCAGCAGGAGGCAGAUGACGCCGACACCAGCACAAACACCCUGAUUAUCAUGAGCACUGCAGUCUUGGCCUUGCGGUGAAAAUAUGGCAGGAACAACAGCCACGUGUUCUGCUUGCCAACAUUUCCAUUGGAGCACCCACAGGUUGAUGUACUGGAUUAAAAUGUACAAGAGGAUGAUAACCAAGCACAAUAACCCAGCCAGAGGCCACAGAGCUGAAGAACCACCAGUAAUUCCUGCUCCUGAUGCAGUUUUGAGCCAUUGGCAAUGAUGGACAAAGCCGGCGGUGCACUUGCAGAUGCUCCGGUGUUUGGCUUUUGUGCUCACAGUGACCCCCACAGAGAGCAAUACUGAUUCUCCAUGACAUGAUGGUGUUUAGAUCGGUCCAACAUAAGCAGCCGUUGACUGUAGGUGAUCUUGUGUAGAAUGCUCACUUAAGGCGUAACCAUGGAGGCAGACACAAAGUGCAUGAUGAUAUGAAAAAAGAAUAUUCCACCAGUCCGCAGGCAGUGUACUUCCUCUCAUGGGGCUAAAAAUUCAAAACAUGGCUAAGGCCAAGGUCUGGAACAUGGCCCAGGAUAUCGCCUGGUGUUUGUCUGGACAGGCGAGGUAGGCGUGGGUUCUGGGAGGACCUGUCUCUGGCUCCUGCCACAGCAGUCCAUCUUAAUAAUAUCAUCCGUUCCUCCGGCAACAGGUUUUGAUUUGAGUACUUCUGUUUGUUUCUCCCUUCUGUACAUCUUGACUUACUUUCUGUAUUAGCAUCAUUUGCUUCUUGGCAAUCUUGAUAAGAUCUUCCCUGACCAAUGUUCCAGCCUUCACUCUUCAGGGAGCCUGCUAGUCAAGUAUUCUCUUUGCCUUAGAUUUCCCACUUCCAGAAGCUGCUGGUGAAGCCACCCCAUCUUGAA